AUAUUGUAUAUAAUUGACACCUCGUUAGUCCGAUGAUUCAGUUUCCGCCUCCGAACGCUGGUCAGUCGGAACGGAUUGGACUAAUUAAGUUGUAAACAGCCGCGUUAAUCCGAACGAUUGAAGUUAACCGCGCUGCUGACUUGUCCAAUCAAAGUGACACGUUGUUUGUUUAGCGACUUAGCGACUCAUCCCUUUGAUCCCUUUAUCAUAAUGCAUAACCAUUCCAG